GAUGAACGCUGGCGGCGUGCCUAAUACAUGCAAGUCGAGCGAACAGAUGAGGAGCUUGCUCCUCUGACGUUAGCGGCGGACGGGUGAGUAACACGUGGAUAACCUACCUAUAAGACUGGGAUAACUUCGGGAAACCGGAGCUAAUACCGGAUAAUAUAUUGAACCGCAUGGUUCAAUAGUGAAAGACGGUUUUGCUGUCACUUAUAGAUGGAUCCGCGCCGCAUUAGCUAGUUGGUAAGGUAACGGCUUACCAAGGCUACGAUGCGUAGCCGACCUGAGAGGGUGAUAGGCCACACUGGAACUGAGACACGGUCCAGACUCCUACGGGAGGCAGCAGUAGGGAAUCUUCCGCAAUGGGCGAAAGCCUGACGGAGCAACGCCGCGUGAGUGAUGAAGGUCUUCGGAUCGUAAAACUCUGUUAUUAGGGAAGAACAAAUGUGUAAGUAACUAUGCACGGCUUGACGGUACCUAAUCAGAAAGCCACGGCUAACUACGUG
rnacentral:rRNA from 1 species